rnacentral:lncRNA from 1 species
UUUUAAUUGUAUAAAAACUUUGGAUGUAAACAGCAGCUUGAUUUGUUUGAUCGAUUUUACAGGAAUGAGAUCGGUGAGAAUUUUGGUGAAUACUCUACAAUUCCAGAAUUAAGAGCCAUCACAAACCCUGUCACUUUGUGUGAUGCUGAGAGAGACGUGUACAGUCUGAUUCAAGAUUCAGCGAUAUACAGCGUAGUACAGAAGAACGAAAGUGUUUUGCUGAAAAAGAAGAAAGAAACUAAACAACUCACUGAUACAACUGCAGUUUAUGCAAUCGUGCAAAAAGGAAGAAAAACGUGAUGACUGUCACACCUUCCUAUGCCUCUACUGACUUUUCCACUUUCACAAACUCCAACUCCCAGAAUGCACCUCUCAAUCAUGUGUCUCAGCCAGCCAAUCAGCACCUGAUUGUUAGAUCAGCUUCACCUGUGUUCUGAGUAAUUACUGGG